AGUGACAGCUGUUUUUGUCCUUUAAUGGGAGGGUAUGAACACAUUUGAGGACAACUGUAUUUACUUUUUAUGGAGUUACCCAUCUUUGCAGUAGUACAGCAGUUUUCUCACAUUACCAGCUUCGUUCCUCAUCACAGAGCGGCCGCACGCUCAGGCAGCACAGGCCGCCUGCUGAUGGUAGGAUCACUGGUUUAAUCACCUGACAGCGACCUUAAAGACACAGCUCCCAAUAAGACUUCAUUGUGUUUAUAUGUAAGAGUGAGUAAGUGGUAGUGUAAAGUGCUUCUUCUGUUCUCUGGUUGGUAAUAUUCCUCAUUUUCUAUAAUGCUUCCUGUAAUGUAAUUGUAUAUUUUAGCACGUAUUCAUGCAACAAUGUAAAAUUCCUACAGGUAAGUAUACCAUUAAACUUAUAUUAAAAAAAAAAUACAAUUUUGAAUAUUUUGUUCAAAGUAAGCAGUUCAUGUGAAUGUCUGGAUGCCAACAACUGCUUCUAAUUUUAGCAAAAGUAAUUUCUUAACUACAGUCUAUAUAAUUAAUACCAAAAUAGAUUGUUCUGUCCAAGAGAAUUUCAAGAUCUUAUGAAAUAAUCCUCAACAAACAAGGUCUGAGUGUUAAAAAAAAAUAAAUCUGAAUAUGUUGUCACACAAAAUAACCCAUUUCAUUUUGUUUAUGACAAAAUAUAUCCAUUAAGGAGUACUUUAAACCCAAUAAAAUUAUAAUUUGAGCA